GCCUCUACUUCACCCGUGACUAGACCCCCCCCCCCCCCUCUCUGUUAACUCCUAGACCAGAUCCAAUCGGCCUGCCCCUCCCAUCCCCUCCACAGCCGGCCACCGUUGCGAGAUCUCCCUCCCAACCAUGACAUGGGUUGCGCGGCCCCCGGCUACACAACCACCGCGGCUGCUCGCGUGCUGGCCGUCGAGCGAGCUGCACCAUGGCGACGAGCCGACGAGCACCGCCUUCUCCUUCCCGUCCUCCGGCUAGAUCCACUCGGUGCCCCUCCGACGAGCUUGACGGCCAUAUCCAUCCCGAGCAGGCGUUGUGGGCUUGCAAAUUUAGUGCGUCUACCUACAGGCCGGUGUGGUGGAUCUUGGAUCAUGUAGAACUCCAGCCAUGCAAUUUUGUUGUCGGUGUCAUGAAUUUUGUAUAAUUUGUUUGUUUCUUUCAGCUCUCCUUUCUACCUACAUAUUUCCGUCUUUUUUAUAGAACUCCAGUGCUACUACGAUGGAUCUUGGAUCUUGUAGAAUGCCGUCACUUGCAACUUUUGUUGCCGGUCGUUCGGUGAUAUGGAUUUGUGCUACAAGCCGUAGACCUCAGAUUUUAUUUUCUGGUCUCA